UACAUGACUACAUGACUACAUGACUAUAUACUGAUACAUUGCUAGUGAACGAUACGGUUGUUAAUGAUUUAGAAGAAAUCGACGCAUUCAACUUGAACUUCUAAAUGAUGAAGACCAUGAUUUGCUAUAUACAUUACCACAACACCAUCGAUGUUGUGCACACACAAUAAAUUUAAUAGCAACAAUGGACUCUAAAAAAGCACUGUCUAAUCUUGCAUACAAAAAACAGUCAAGAAGCACUUUUGCCAAGUCUACCGCUUUGUGGAACAAAGAAGGUCACUCAACUAAGUCACCUUAUUUAGUUAAACAAAAUCUUGGUGUUUAUUUAAUUACACCCAACGAGACACGUUGAAAUUCACUGUUUGAAGCAACGGUGCUGCUUAAUAAAUUAAUUAAAAAUAAUGAACUUAAGUUUAGAAUAAUAAUGGACAAUUUGGCUAUUGGCAGAUUUAAUAAAAGUGAUAUUUAUUUCAUGUGUCAAUAUCAAACAAUUAUGGGGCCAAUUUCAAUAAGCUUGGAUUUAUGUAAGAGGUUGAUUGCAUAAUUUACCCAC